AGUUAAGACAGUGGCGGCAGAAGGACCUGGAACCGUAAAGGAUGAAAUGUGCUCGUGAAUCGGGGUAAGGGGACGAUUCCUGAGGUGUGGAAUUAGUUUUUGGCCAGGGCUGGGUUUGAACCCACCACCUCCAGCAUAUGGGGCUGGCGCCCUACUCCUUUGAGCCACGGGCACCGCCCAGAAGAAUCUGUAUUUGUAACAAGAAUCUUCACAACUCUGUAGAUACUGGGAUAAAAUUGUGGCAAUUGUGAACUGAGCUGCAAUAAACAUCCUAGUGCAAAUGUCCUUGUGAGAUGUGGAAUCAACCCAAG